rfam:Clunio marinus genome assembly, contig: CLTMA_superscaffold_21
GUCGGAUACGGUGAUAUGACGCCUAAGACAUACAUCGGAAUGUUUGUCGGUGCAUUGUGUGCAUUAGCAGGUGUAUUGACGAUUGCAUUACCCGUGCCCGUCAUUGUUAGCAAC